rnacentral:sRNA from 2 species
UUCGUCUGCGGUUUAUGAGGAUGAGCACCUCCGCAGGAGGUUCGAGCCUCGCGAAGCGAGACAACGUUGCUUUAGCAACGGCCCGCAGGGCGCGCAUCAACGAUGCGCGUAAUCCUCUCUCGCCGACCA